UCUGCUCCAGAUGGACUGCGUCCGAUCAGGCUGUGCGGGGUAAUGGCCCACCAAACCUGUAACCGGUACGGGCCUUGAGAGAGGUGGCCCGGAGAUGGACACUGAGAGAAGGGUCCAGGUCCUACGGGGCGCAGCAGGCGCGAAACCUUUCGCAAUGCGCGAAAGCGUGACGAGGUUAAUCCGAGUGACUCCCGCUGAGGGGGUCUUUUGUCAGCUGUAAAUAGGCAGGCGAAUAAGGGGAGGGCAAGCCUGGUGUCAGCCGCCGCGGUAAUACCAGCUCCUCGAGUGGUCGGGGCGAUUAUUGGGCCUAAAGCAUCCGUAGCCGGUUCCGUAGGUCCUCUGUUAAAUCCAACCGCUUAACGGUUGACCUGCAGAGGAUACCGCGGGACUAGGAGGCGGGAGAGGCGGACGGUACUCCGCGUGUAGGGGUAAAAUCCUUUGAUCCGCGGAAGACCACCAGUGGCGAAGGCGGUCCGCCAGAACGCGCUCGACGGUGAGGGAUGAAAGCUGGGGGAGCGAACCGGAUUAGAUACCCGGGUAGUCCCAGCCGUAAACGAUGCUAGCUAGAUGAUUCAUUCGCAAGUCGCGAAUGAAGUGUCG
rnacentral:rRNA from 1 species